rnacentral:snRNA from 1 species
GUGCUUGCUUUGGCAACACAUAUACUAAAAUUGGAAUGAUACAAAGAUUAGCAUAGCCCCUGCAUAAGGAUGACACAGAAAUUCAUGAAGUUUUCCACUUUUUU